AACUUGCAAGGUCCAACAAACGCACAUCUGAGUAAAGACCUCACCAACACACUACAUCUAACAAGCCUGCUAGCACGAUUGAUUCAGCUCCACAACACGGACAAUCUAGAUUGCAUCAACCUCAACACUUUAGACGCGAUAACUGAUAUGCCUGUGAGGUACAACUCGCUGGAAGGACUCGAAGGAAGGAAGGUUCGCAUACACACCUGGUGUUCUCUGGCUUCAACGACACGGGAAAAAGACAGCGCUCUCAGCCGCAACACGUAUCAUUAAGAGGUUUAGGGUUGCUGAAGCCCAUGACUUCAUACAGGCGGUGCUCCGUACUUCCUUCAACUCGAAUGGAUUGACAAUUCGGAUGGAUUGAUAGCUUUGCGUGGCUGCGUAUGGCGGCCUUGGAAACCCAAUUCUAAUUCUCUUCCAAUAUAAACCCUUUGCAUUGCUCACUCGACAUACAGAGUAACGUUAGUGGAUGUGUGUGGAAGUGCUUGAAGAUAUGUUCGAAAAUGUCUUCACUCUUUCGCUAAGGCAGCUCCUUUACUUCUGGGCAAUCCCUGCGUCUCUCUUUUCUCUCUUCCAGUGGACUACAAUCUCUUCUUAUAGCUCAUUGUGUCUCUCUCCCCUAGUAUUCAUCUUCGGGAUGUCCUGUUCUGAAACCAUGGCCGGGGCUGAUGCCAAGCCAGGCAAAGCCAUCCAUACAAAACAAAAGUCAAUUAGUUUCUUGUAUUGCCUUCAAAGUAGAGUCAUGCAGUAUAUUCAUGGUGUCAACAUUGUUCCUGCCAGUGUAGUAAUUUUAGCAUUAUUCUUGGUUCUAAUUAUAUUAUUGGAAGUUCUACAUAGAAACCAGCCGGGUAUAACAUUUUGAAUAUUGAUUACAGUGCCAUUGUUCACUUUUGGGAUUUUUCUCUCUUUGUCAGGGGCCUGAGUAUUUCGUUCAUAACUGCUACUUUCUUAGUAACUUGGUGCUGCUGUGAAUCUCGUCAAGCUCGGCCCACCAGUUCUGGAGCUGUCUCGGAGGGUUUUGUUUUGAGCACGACAAGUAUUUUGUGCAUUGCUUGUAUUGUUUCUCUUGGCAAGGACUUCAAAGUAUUUUUCA